rnacentral:rRNA from 1 species
GAUGAACGCUGGCGGCGUGCCUAAUACAUGCAAGUCGAGCGAACAGACGAGAGUGCUUGCACUCUCUGACGUUAGCGGCGGACAGGUGAGUAACACGUGGGUAACCUACCUAUAAGACUGGGAUAACUUCGGGAAACCGGAGCUAAUACCGGAUAAUAUUUAGCUUCGCAUGAAGCAAUAGUGAAAGACGGUUCUGCUGUCACUUAUAGAUGGACCCGCGGUGUAUUAGCUAGUUGGUGAGGUAACGGCUCACCAAGGCAACGAUACAUAGCCGACCUGAGAGGGUGAUCGGCCACACUGGGACUGAGACACGGCCCAGACUCCUACGGGAGGCAGCAGUAGGGAAUCUUCCGCAAUGGACGAAAGUCUGACGGAGCAAUGCCGCGUGAGUGAAGAAGGUUUUCGGAUCGUAAAACUCUGUUGUAAGGGAAGAACAAGUACGUUAGUAACUGAACGUACCUUGACGGUACCUGACCAGAAAGCCACGGCUAACUACGUG